GGCAGGUUGGAACAGCGGCAGUUCGCAAGGCUCAUAACCUUGAGGUCGUGGGUUCGAGUCCCACACCUGCAACCA
rnacentral:tRNA from 1 species